rnacentral:rRNA from 1 species
GAUGAACGCUGGCGGCGUGCUUAACACAUGCAAGUCGAACGGAAAGGCCAGUGCUUGCACUGGUACUCGAGUGGCGAACGGGUGAGUAACACGUGGGUGAUCUGCCCUGCACUUCGGGAUAAGCCUGGGAAACUGGGUCUAAUACCGGAUAGGACAAUGGUUUGGAUGCCGUUGUGGAAAGUUUUUUCGGUGUGGGAUGAGCUCGCGGCCUAUCAGCUUGUUGGUGGGGUAAUGGCCUACCAAGGCGUCGACGGGUAGCCGGCCUGAGAGGGUGUACGGCCACAUUGGGACUGAGAUACGGCCCAGACUCCUACGGGAGGCAGCAGUGGGGAAUAUUGCACAAUGGGCGCAAGCCUGAUGCAGCGACGCCGCGUGGGGGAUGACGGCCUUCGGAUUGUAAACUCCUGUCGCUAGGGACGAAGCGUAUUUGUGACGGUACCUGGAGAAGAAGCACCGGCUAACUACGUG